rnacentral:rRNA from 1 species
AAGACCUUGCGCUUUUGGAGCGGCCGAUGCCUGAUUAGCUAGUUGGUGGGGUAAAGGCCUACCAAGGCGUCGAUCAGUAGUUGGUCUGAGAGGACGACCAGCCACACUGGGACUGAGACACGGCCCAGACUCCUACGGGAGGCAGCAGUGGGGAAUUUUGGACAAUGGGCGCAAGCCUGAUCCAGCAAUGCCGCGUGAGUGAAGAAGGCCUUCGGGUUGUAAAGCUCUUUCAGUCGAGAAGAAAAGAUUACGACUAAUAAUCGUAAUUCAUGACGGUACCGACAGAAGAAGCACCGGCUAACUACGUGCCAGCAGCCGCGGUAAUACGUAGGGUGCGAGCGUUAAUCGGAAUUACUGGGCGUAAAGGGUGCGCAGGCGGCUUUGUAAGUCAGAUGUGAAAUCCCCGGGCUUAACCUGGGAACU